rnacentral:rRNA from 1 species
UACGGAGGGAGCUAGCGUUAUUCGGAAUUACUGGGCGUAAAGAGCUCGUAGGUGGUUUGUCGCGUUGUUCGUGAAAACUCACAGCUCAACUGUGGGCGUGCGGGCGAUACGGGCAGACUGGAGUACUGCAGGGGAGACUGGAAUUCCUGGUGUAGCGGUGAAAUGCGCAGAUAUCAGGAGGAACACCGGUGGCGAAGGCGGGUCUCUGGGCAACAACUGACGCUGAGGAGCGAAAGCGUGGGGAGCGAACAGG